rnacentral:rRNA from 1 species
GAUGAACGCUAGCGGGAGGCCUAACACAUGCAAGCCGAGCGGUAGAGUUUCUUCGGAAACUUGAGAGCGGCGCACGGGUGCGUAACACGUGUGCAACCUACCUUUAUCUGGGGGAUAGCCUUUCGAAAGGAAGAUUAAUGCCCCAUAAUAUAAUGAUUGGCAUCAAUUAUUAUUGAAAACUCCGGUGGAUAGAGAUGGGCACGCGCAAGAUUAGAUAGUUGGUGAGGUAACGGCUCACCAAGUCAAUGAUCUUUAGGGGUCCUGAGAGGGAGAUCCCCCACACUGGUACUGAGACACGGACCAGACUCCUACGGGAGGCAGCAGUGAGGAAUAUUGGACAAUGGGUGAGAGCCUGAUCCAGCCAUCCCGCGUGAAGGAUGACGGUCCUAUGGAUUGUAAACUUCUUUUGUACAGGGAUAAACCUACCCUCGUGAGGGUAGCUGAAGGUACUGUACGAAUAAGCACCGGCUAACUCCGUG